rnacentral:rRNA from 1 species
AUUGAACGCUGGCGGCAGGCCUAACACAUGCAAGUCGAGCGGAUGAAGGGAGCUUGCUCCUGGAUUCAGCGGCGGACGGGUGAGUAAUGCCUAGGAAUCUGCCUGGUAGUGGGGGAUAACGUCCGGAAACGGGCGCUAAUACCGCAUACGUCCUGAGGGAGAAAGUGGGGGAUCUUCGGACCUCACGCUAUCAGAUGAGCCUAGGUCGGAUUAGCUAGUUGGUGGGGUAAAGGCCUACCAAGGCGACGAUCCGUAACUGGUCUGAGAGGAUGAUCAGUCACACUGGAACUGAGACGCGGUCCAGACUCCUGCGGGAGGCAGCAGUGGGGAAUAUUGGACAAUGGGCGAAAGCCUGAUCCAGCCAUGCCGCGUGUGUGAAGAAGGUCUUCGGAUUGUAAAGCACUUUAAGUUGGGAGGAAGGGCAGUAAGUUAAUACCUUGCUGUUUUGACGUUACCAACCGAAUAAGCACCGGCUAACUUCGUG